rnacentral:rRNA from 1 species
AUACGGAGGGGGCUAGCGUUGUUCGGAAUUACUGGGCGUAAAGCGCGCGUAGGCGGUCCGCGUAGUCAGGCGUGAAAGCCCCGGGCUCAACCUGGGAACUGCGUUUGAUACUGGCGGGCUAGAGUCCGGGAGAGGGUAGUGGAAUUCCCAGUGUAGAGGUGAAAUUCGUAGAUAUUGGGAAGAACACCAGUGGCGAAGGCGGCUACCUGGACCGGUACUGACGCUGAGGUGCGAAAGCGUGGGGAGCAAACAGGAUUAGAUACCCCAGUAGUCC